AGGAGGUGCACAUAGCAUAGACCCAUGGAAGAGGAGGGAUCUGAGAAGGACUUUGAAAAAAGUGUAGGAGAGGCUGUGAGAAAACAAGGCAGGUGUCCUGACUGAGGACAGGAAGGAGGCACUGUGAUGGAAAUUGGGCCCCAUUUUCUUGGAGGAUUGGCAAGAGGACCUGUGGAUGGAGCGGCCCACACAACUGCCGGAACCUCAGGCAGUUUUCAAGCAGAUUGACCUUCCUGCUGGAACACAGCAGAUGAGGGUUGCUUGGCCUUGCCUCCACCAUGCCUGACACUGGCUCUCUGCUGGGAGGAAAGAGCUUGCUCUGAUGCUGGCUGUGUGGAACACAGAGGGAAGUGGCAGACAGUCUGGGCCCAGCACUUGGGUAUCUUGCUGUAGCCAUGCGAAUCAUCUCUCCAGUUCAGACCUGC
rnacentral:lncRNA from 10 species